AAAUCUUUUAAAAGGGCAUCUAAUCAAAACCUUGGUAAAAAAAGUAAGGACGUCGCGCUACGAAACGCUGUAAGGAGGCACAGGCUUGUGAUCUACAGAUUUCCUAAAGUAAACUAACAUAAUUUAUGUAAAAAUAAUGUGAAUUGAACCAUCUUAUUAGCAUUAAAAUAAAUCAAACGAGAUUCCGUAAGUAAUAGCGAAUGAAAGCGGUUAGAGGCUUGGGUUUUUAUUUAUUCGGAAUCCAGAAAACUCAAGAAGGUAAAAGUCCUGUACGUAAUAAACUAAAAAAUACCAAAAAGAAGUAAUACGAAGACUUACUUUGUAUGAAUAAAGGAGAACCACCUUCUAAGCCUAAAGCUUUUUUUAACCGAUAGUGAACGAGUACCGUGAGGGAAAGGUGAAAAAUACCGUAAGGGUUCUAGUUAUAAAAACUAGAUUAAGAAAUUAGAUGUUUACAAGUUUUCGGAGUUAAUAGCAACCACGAAGUGCCUUUUGCAUAAUGAGUCAGUAAGUUAUUACGUGUAGCAAGUUUAAGUAAAAAUACGUAAGCAAAAAAGUAACAUGUAUUAAACCUGAAGCCGAGUGAUCUAAUUGCGAGCAGGUUGAAAAUUCAGUAACAUGUUUUAGAGGACCGAACUCACAUAUGUAGCAAAAUAUGGAGAUGACUCGUAGUUAGGGGCGAAAGACCAAUCAAACUCGGCGAUAGCCGGUUUUUCACGAAACGUAUUUAAGUACUACGUUAUUAGCUAAUAAAUUUUAGGUAGAGUACAGACUAAACAAAGGGGUGUAAAAACUUACUAAGUUUAGUUUAACUCCUAACUAUAACUUAAUUUUAAUAGCAGACAGUCUUUAGGCGAUAAGGUCUAAAGACAAAAGGAAAACAAUCCAGACCGUAUACUAAGAUCUCAAAAUUGUAGUUCAGUGAAGAAGGCUUUUAAAAUUUCAAAUAAUAAAUCAGGAUAGGCUUAGAAGCAGCCUUUCAUUAGAGAAAGCGUUUUAGCUCAUUAUUUUAUUUUUAAAAACCAAAAAUUAAAGGAGACUCUAAACUACAUAUCGAAGUAACGGAUUAGUUACAAACUAAUGGUAGUGAAACGUUCUGUAAUUUUUAACAACGUAAGUUUAAAUAAACAUCAGAAGUGCUAAUGCUGACAUGAGUAGCGCAAACUACGUUAACAAAUCGUAGUCAUUUUAUGUUCAAGGGUUUCAAUGUAAUUUUAAAUUCAUUGAGUGAGUCGGUCCUUAAGAGGUGAGCAAACGCUGUACUCGAUAGGAAGAUAUUUUAUAACCAAUUAUAUGUGUAAGUAAUAACUUAUAUGCAAAUAAAUAUAAAUGCAGUGUAUUCUUCAACUCAAAGAUUAAAGAUGCAUAUAAUUAUAUUUCUCAAGAAAAAAUUAUAAUGUAAGACCGUACCCAAACCGACACAGGUGAACUUAUCGAGAAGAUAAAAGUGAAUGAAAGAAUUGUACUGAAGGAACUCGGCAAAUUAACUCUGUACGUUCGCAAUAAAGAGAACCAUAUUUAAAUUAUGGUGGCACGAAAUAAGAAACAACGACUGGUUACCAAAACCACAGGACUCUGCAAAUUAUUACAAAAAGUAUAGAGUCUGACGCCUGCCCAGUGCUUAAAAGCGAUAAACUUAAGUGAGAGCUUAAGUUAUAACCUUAAGUAAACGGCGGUUCUAACUAUAAGAAUCCUUAGGUAGCGAAAUUCCUUGACGGGUAAGUUCCGUCCCGCAUGAAUGGCGUCACGAUUGUUUUACUGUCUCCAGUACAACUUCAGCGAAAUUACAUAACCUAUGAAAAUGUGGGUUACCUACAGUAAGACGGAAAGACCCUAGAUCCUUUACUCUAUCUUUGUAUUGUAAUAGACUAAAACAUUGUGUAGAAUAAGUGGGAAUACUUCAAGAAAGUAUAAAACUGAAAUACCACUCAAAGUAUUAGAAUUUUACUAAUUUACGUAAAAAUCCGUAAAAACAGUAUAAAAAGGGGAGUUUACUUGGGACGAGUACCUCCUAAAAUGUAACGGAGGUGUACAAAGGUGAACCUCAUUUGCUUAAAAUAAGCAAUGAAGCGUAUAAUGACAUAAGUUCGCUUAACAGAAAGAUUGAUAAAUCAACCUGAGACGUAAGUCGGUCAUAGUGAUCCGGUAUUCAAGUGUGGAAUUGUUACCGCUCAACAAAUAAAAGGAACUCUAGGGAUAACAGAUUCAUCGUGGCUGAGAGUCCUUAUUGACGCCACGGUUUGAUACCUCGAUGUCGACUCAUCUUAUCCUGGAAUUGAAGAAGAUUCCAAGGGUCUAGUUGUUCGCUAGUGAAAAAGGUACGUGAGUUGGGUUCAGAACGUCGUGAGACAGUUCGGUCCCUAUCUGCUGUAGGCAAGAAAAGAAAAAAGACUAUUUCUAGUACGAGAGGACCGAAAUAUUUUAACCACUGGUGUAUUGAUUGUCAUAUCUUUGGCAUUGUCAAGUAGCUACGUUAACUGUGUAUGUGUACUGAAAGAAUCAAAAGUACGAAGACAUCUUUAAGUUGCUUUUCAUGAAUAAUCUAAAAGACUAUUAGAUAGAUCGGUUUAACGUACUUAUUUAGUAAUAAAUACCGCUUAUAAAUACGAAUUUAUUCAACAAAGACUUUAA
rnacentral:rRNA from 1 species